rnacentral:snRNA from 1 species
AGAUGUGAGGGAGAUCUGGCUGUGACAUCUGUCACCCCACUGAUCGCCAGGGUUGACUCGGCUGAUCUGGCUGGCUAGGCGGGUGUCCCCUUCCUCCCUCACGGCUCCGUGUGCGUCCCUCCCGAAGGUGCGCCCUGGGUGGAAGAGGAUAACCAUCCCCGAUAGAGGAGGACCGUUCUCUGGUCAAGGGUAUACGAGUAGCUGCGCUCCCCUGCUAGAACCUCCAAACAAGCUCUCAAGGUCCUCCACAACACUGCUUUUUGAGCAAAGAUCCUUUUCUAGAACCAAGGGCAGAAAGCAAUUCUGGUUGUUUUUCAGGAAAUAAUUCCAUGAAUU